GCUUACGUCCAUACCACCCUAAGCACGCCCACUCUCGUCUGAUCUCGGAAGCUAAGCAGGGUUGGGCUUGGUUAGUGCUUGAAAGGGAGACCGCCUGGGAAUACCAGGUGCUGUAAGCU
ensembl:rRNA 5S_rRNA 5S ribosomal RNA